AUCACCCCGAGGUCACAAAAUAGAAAAGGAUGGGCAGAGUAGGUCAAUUUCAGAUGAAGAUGAAGACUAUCAUGAUGGAAUGAAUGUGAGAAUGCGAGAAAUUGUUACGUCUUAGACGAGAAAAUGUGAUGUAAAUAGGGAGGUGGCAAACACCAUCCAUUUCCUAGGAAGCAAACGCGCAGAAGCCUGUACAACCCUGCGAGUUUCAGAUGAUUCUAAGUGUAGCACCUACCUGUGCUUCCCUUACCAAGUCAUUGCUUUGCAACUGUGGCAUGAACAUCAAGGCUUAGCAAAGCGAGGAGGCAAAGAGCAAAUGUAAGGCUGCAAAGCGAGUCCGGGAGUCCAGAAGCUCUAAAUCUAGUCGACUGAUACUCUCGUUUAUCUCUCACAGGGAAAAUCAUGGUCCCUGCAGAAUGAAGGUACUUGGAGGAUGAGGAUACACCAACAAUGAAAACUUCAAAAGGUGCAAUGACUGGUUUAGUUACUGGUACCAUCUGGGGAACCAUAGUCGCCACUUGGUAUGAUAUUCCUCGUAUGAACUGUGUUUUGUACGUUAAUACACAUUGUGCUCGCUAUUACACUACAGCUUUGUUCUCCGUUUAUCUUUGUUUGAAUACAAGCCAAUAUGCUUUGUUUAUUGGUUCAAAUGUGUAAGCUUGCUAGGAUAGUUGAUGAUUGAUAGUACAUAUAUUCUGAUACAUGCCACGAG